rnacentral:rRNA from 1 species
GUGCCAGCAGCCGCGGUAAUACGUAGGGUGCGAGCGUUAAUCGGAAUUACUGGGCGUAAAGCGUGCGCAGGCGGUUAUACAAGACAGGCGUGAAAUCCCCGGGCUUAACCUGGGAAUGGCGCCUGUGACUGUAUAGCUAGAGUGUGUCAGAGGGGGGUAGAAUUCCACGUGUAGCAGUGAAAUGCGUAGAUAUGUGGAGGAAUACCAAUGGCGAAGGCAGCCCCCUGGGAUAACACUGACGCUCAUGCACGAAAGCGUGGGGAGCAAACAGGAUUAGAUACCCUCGUAGUCC